rnacentral:rRNA from 1 species
CGAAAGCCUGACGGAGCAAUACCGCGUGAGGGAGGAAGGCUCUUGGGUCGUAAACCUCUUUUYUCAGGGAAGAAGAAAGUGACGGUACCUGAGGAAUAAGCAUCGGCUAACUCCGUGCCAGCAGCCGCGGUAAUACGGAGGAUGCAAGCGUUAUCCGGAAUGAUUGGGCGUAAAGGGUCCGCAGGUGGCUAUGUAAGUCUGCUGUUAAAGAGUUUGGCUCAACCAGAUAAGAGCAGUGGAAACUACAUAGCUAGAGUGCGUUCGGGGCAGAGGGAAUUCCUGGUGUAGCGGUGAAAUGCGUAGAUAUCAGGAAGAACACCGGUGGCGAAAGCGCUCUGCUAGGCCGCAACUGACACUGAGGGACGAAAGCUAGGGGAGCGAAUGGGAUUAGAUACCCCAGUAGUCCUAGCCGUAAACGAUGGAUACUAGGCGUGGCUUGUAUCGACCCGAGCCGUGCCGUAGCUAACGCGUUAAGUAUCCCGCCUGGGGAGUACGCAGGCAACUGUGAAACUCAAAGGAAUUGACGGGGGCCCGCACAAGCGGUGGAGUAUGUGGUUUAAUUCGAUGCAACGCGAAGAACCUUACCAAGACUUGACAUGUCGUGAAUCUCUUUGAAAGGAGAGAGUGCCUUCGGGAGCGCGAACACAGGUGGUGCAUGGCUGUCGUCAGCUCGUGUCGUGAGAUGUUGGGUUAAGUCCCGCAACGAGCGCAACCCUCGUUUUUAGUUGCCAGCAUUAAGUUGGGCACUCUAGAGAGACUGCCGGUGACAAACCGGAGGAAGGUGAGGAUGACGUCAAGUCAGCAUGCCCCUUACGUCUUGGGCUACACACGUACUACAAUGCUACGGACAAAGGGCAGCUACACAGCGAUGUGAUGCUAAUCUCAUAAACCGUAGCUCAGUUCAGAUCGCAGGCUGCAACUCGCCUGCGUGAAGGAGGAAUCGCUAGUAAUUGCAGGUCAGCAUACUGCAGUGAAUUCGUUCCCGGGCCUUGUACACACCGCCCGUCACACCAUGGAAGUUGGUCACGCCCGAAGUCAUUACCCCAACCUUUUGGAGGGGGAUGCCUAAGG